UUUUCAAAGAAUAUACAGUUUCAGCUGAAUUACUUGCACAGAUUAAAGGCACUAAUAAUUUGCAGUGUCCCUGCCUGGCCAAGUAGACAGAAUUUGUGAGAGGUCAAACACUUCUGAUUAUCAAGUAAUUACUCUAUGUCUGUCUAUAGAUUGAAGAACCCGAUUUAGACAGCUGUGUUAUCUCAAAUCUUGGCUACAUUUUGUAAAGUGGCAUAGAAGCCUUUUGCAUUCAAACGUGCUUUGUUUUAACAGUAAAGUGAGGGAAUACCCCUGAUGUGAAAGGAGCUUUCCAUUUUGACCUCACUCAGUCCUCAUCCCCCCAAGGAAACUGUCCAACUGCAUCAUGUUAUAUAAUUUAUUUGUCGAUUCUGUCAAAAAGGAGAGCUUGUGUUACUUGGAGGGCCUUCAUGCCAAUUCCAAAACGAAAACCAAUGCACACUGCCAGUACAGCAAUUGCCUACAGACUUACUGAAUUUCUUCACUCCUACUCACCACCAAAACCAGCUCAGGAAAAAAAAUACCCCCAAAUGGCUUGUUAGAAGUCAGCAGAACUGCAAGUGAUAAAAUACUGACAUUUUUUCCCGAGGGGGAGAUAAAAGCAAAAUUAUGUAAUAAACAUUAUUAAUAGGCUAUCUCAUGUAUAGAGCCAGCCUCAGUGAACUGUUAAACGUGUAGGCACAGGGAUCCAUAAAAACAUAUAGCUUGUGUUAGUUUAAGCCCACAUAUCCCAGUACCCCACCACGGUCUCUUCAUCUUCACUUGCUCUAAAGGUUGAUCCUGUAGAGGUGGCCUUCCUCUCUUCCAGCUUCUCUAAGUGUUAACUCUCUACACUGUGAGAAAAGUAAAUGUAUGACAUGGGUUAGUGUGAGGUGUCCCUGCCCAUGGCAGGGGGGUUGGAACUUGAUGACCUUUAGGUCCUUUCCAACCCUAACUAUUCUAUGACUCUAUGAUAUAAAAGGGUAUCUAUCAGCUGGUAGGAUCCACCUAUUUAAAUGUAAAGGGUGGGAAGGAAGCCUCCACUCAAGGCUUGAAAGGAAUGUGCAAAGAAACAAGACACAGCAAGUAGAGGUAAAACUUAAGGAAAGUAUUCAAAGGGUGAAGCAUGUUAUGGAAGAAAGAGAAAAAAGAAUCUGUUAAAUAAGAAGAAUUUUAAUAAGAAGAAUCAGAAGUACUAGGCAAAGUUAGGAGGAAAUUAGAGCAGAGAUACAGACAAAGUAAAUAUUCCAUGCCAUGAAUAUGGGGAAGAAGUGUUAAAUUUGCUUCAAUGUAUGGGGCUCAUCAGCCGAUUACACGAUUUCUGUCAGCUGUAGUUAGUGAUAAUAAUGGGGAUGGAAGAGCUGGACAAAGUAGGACGGGGAAAGAAAGAGGAUAGAAUAAGCACUGGUGUUUGUCUCUUCAUUUUAUCUGUUUUCUGUGUGUUGGCUCAUUAGGAAUCCCGCCUUCUGCCAAGAGAGAAACCAUUUUGGUUUUGCAUAGUUGCAGCCAUGUGGGGGAAAAGAGAUAGAGUAUCCUCUCUGAAAACUUUUGUUUUCUCUCUAAUGUAAGAUAAGAUAUUUUGGGCACACCAUGCUGUUUGCAUGGAAAUAUUACAGCUGAGGAGUUAAAUGGCAGAAACAGAAAUGGAAUAAUAAGCUUGAGGAAAGUAGUCUGGUUGGCAGCUUAUCAGGGGUUUUGGUUAGUAGUUGUAACAAUCCAAAAGCUUCUAGUACCACAAGCGUCUUUCUUUUCUUUUUGGUUUACUUGUGAUGAGAGAAGAAUGACAGUAAAGAUCCGAUUUUAAAUUUCCAGCAUGCUUAUAUUUUUUUCUGCUGUGUUCGGAAUGGUGAUUUAUUGACACCGAAGCAGGCUUGUCGCUGGGGGAACAGCACAGUGCAGCUCUUGCUAUCUGUCGGACAAAGGCUCCAAGCUAUAAUUUACAUAGGAACUCUUAUGCAAAAUGCCACAAAUAAAUAACACGAUGUGGGGGUGGCUAGGAGCAAGAAGUCACCACAGUCCAAACUUCCCAGAGCUAGAGGAGAAGUCUGGCUGAACAAUCCUUCAUUUAAACAGGGGAGAGAAUACUUCUCAUUCUGGGGCAGGCUGCCAGGAACCGUAGGAAUCAGUUUAUUACUGCUAGAUUGAUCUAAAAUGAGGAUAAAAAAAUCACAGAGCAUAGUUGUUCCAAGCAUUAUAGGUAGCUUUUGUGUCUUGGUGCUGUCAAAUGGCCUGGAAUAUGGAACCAGAAAGGUAGCUGUUGCAUUAGUCAGGAGUUUCCAACCCCAGACCUGCUUUUCAGAUCCUUCCACAAGCCGCCUUCCAGGUGCAUCUGUCUAACUGGCGGAUGGAGAAGGUACAAAGUUCACUGAAGAAUUAGAGCCUUAAGCCUAUUCUUUACAUCCACCUGAUCUGCCCAUAAAAAUUUUAGUAAAUAGCUGUGUGUGAACAGGGCUUGGAAAAUCUAAAGCAUUCAUGGAGCGAAGUAUGUACUCGAAAGAACAGAGGUGUGACCACUGCAUAUGAGGGUGUAGACGUGCCAGCCUGAAGUUACCUGAUAAAGAAACUAGUAGCAAUGAGGAUGCUGCGUUACAGGACUCAGUGCAGAUGAAGGACCUCAGGAAGGUCUGAGCCCCAAGUGAAGCCCAAACCACAUUUGAGAGUCGUUCCCUUAUAAUUGACAUUUAAGUGCUUUAUUCAAAGCAAACCAGCUAUCUCUGCUGGCUUACACUUGCAGUUUCACUUGCAGCACUGAUUUAAUCUGUGUGCUAAAAAUCCCCCAAACUAUAGCAAUGGUAGGACUGCCCUGUAAAUAUCAAGAAGUAAGGACAUUACUAUUGCUCUUACAGCAAUAUUGUCCUCACCACACUAUGCAUUCCCAAAACUAAGUGGCUUUCAGAACAGCAUAGCUAACUACUUUUACAUCUGGCACAAAGUCUGCGGGAGGUUUGCUGCAGUGUUUACUCAGAUCAUCAAGACAUAGUGUAUAGUGUUCAUUUUUAAUUUGUUUUCAGCCAUUAUUCUAUUGAUAAAGAAACCAGCAGGAGGAGAUGUGUUAGUUAGCACAGGAGGUCGUGUUAGUUUAACAGGCAGAAAUGUGUAAGAACAGUCGGUACUGAACCAUCUUUCUCCAGCUGGGUGGUGGGAUCACAGUAACUGGGGGAUGACUUCAGUAACCAUUAGACCAUUUGUCACCAGUAAUGUCCCUGUGUGACCCUACAGGAUGUAUUAGUAAUAGGAAAUCCUCCUUUCAUGUGCAGGUGCCUACGAAUUUAAACCUGCAAUGCCUUCCAAAGCUGCAAUCUAACCCUUGAGACUUCUGAAUACCCCCAUGGCUACAUUCCCAGUGUCGUGUAUGCAGGCUGAGCUUUGCAAGAGCUCACUGUGUUCUUUCACCUGGAGUCCAUCCUGCAUGGUGGGCUCUCUCUGAACCUAUUUGUGAGAGCUGGCACAGCAGAAAAACAAACAAAAACAACAGAGGGAUGUCUGCAGAUAGCCUGAGCCCAUGCCCAAGACAUGCAGUGGCAGGGUUACGUCUCUCUGAUUCCUGAUUCAGAUCUAGGAUUUGAACCUCAGCAUCUCACCUCUCAAGAAAGCAUGGUGACUUCUCCUUCUCCUGUUUUUACACUUCCUGAAUGAUUUUUGGAGCAGGUCUGCCCCAGCAAGCUUGAGAUUUGUUCCCUUAUAAUCAACAUUUAAGUGCUUUGUUCAAAGCAAGCCAGCUAUCUCAAAGAAAAAGAAGCAGUCUGUUGGCUGAGAAGCCAGAAACCCAAACACAAAUAUUUUCUAUACCUUGUGUACAAAACAGUGCAGUUUAUGGGAAGGUUUUGGUUUAACCAGAGCUCUCCACCAGUGUAAACAGAGUGACAAAGUGGAUUUAUGUUGACUGAGGUAUCAGCUAGUGAUAUCUGAGACAUAUGAGAUAUCUGCAAUGGGAAUCAUUCUUAGCAUAGCUAUGCUAAUUGCUAACCUCAGGUGGUUGGCUCAAAGGAUGGCUUUCUUCUACUAUUUGUUUGAACAAUUUACACAGUAUUGCAGAAUUUUUCUUAUAUAUCCAGGUCUCAUGCUGGACACGUAUGAUAUAUGGGCUUUAAAUAUAUAUAUAUAUAUUUACCUAAAAUACUAAAUUAUUUUAGCUGCUCUGGAAUGUUUUAUCUGUUAAGCUACUACUUGCUUUUGUGAAAGCUUUCUGCUUCCAGAGUAUCUUGCUGGAAGAUUGAAAAAGCAAAUCAUAGAAAUCAAUAAAUUUCUCAGUCAGUAUUGCAUGUAUUGCAGUGUCAAAUGCAAAACCAGUUGCAGACAAUUUGGGGUUUAAUUAAACACACUGCAGCUACCUCAGCCAAAUUUCUGUCCCAGAAUAAACUGACUCUACCAGGUUAGAUAGUAAAAUAACAUUUGUCAUAUAAUUUUGAUAUGGCCUCUGUUCUGCUGGAUCUUGGAUUGUAUGUUCACAACAGUUUAUCAGCCCAAUUACAUUGUCCAUAACCAGGCCCAGAUCUUCUGUCCUCAGGCUUCUUAAGCAGUUUUAGGCCUGUGUCCAUCUCACUUGGCCUUUCUGUGCCAGCUCAGAAGAACCACCACUCAUUUCUGCAGCUCAAGAGAGGUGUGGAUUUACUGGGGUGAGUUCACUGAAGCGCCACAAAGAUGAUUCAGAGACUGGGGAGCAUAAUGCAUAUGAGGAGAGGCUGGGGGAUCUGAGACUGUUCAGCACGGAGAAAAGAGAGCUUAGGGAGAUCUUAUUCAUGUGUAAAAACAAGUACCUGAUUGGAGGGAAUGAAGAAGAGGGAGCCAGUCUUCUCAGUGGUGUGCAGUGACAGGGUGAGAGGCAGUGGUCACAAGUUAAAAACCAUUACAUUAAAUCUGAACACAAACCCCCUAAUUUUUAAUCUGAGGAUCAUGAAACACUGUCACAGGUUGUCUAGAGAGUUUUUGGAUUCUCCCUCCUUGGAGAUAUUCAAAAGCUAUCUGAACAAUCAGCUCCAGGUGUCCCUGCUUGAGCAGGGUGGUUGGAGUAGAUGACCUCCAGAGGUCCCUUCCAACCUCAGCCACACUGUGAUUCUGUCAGAGUGUCCUUGUACAUGAGACUGCUGACUGGAAACGUGCCAGUACGAAAUAGUGCAACUUGCCAACAUUUAAUAAAAAGUAUGACAUGGCCAUGCAGCUAUGGCAGAGCUAAGUCAAGCCCCAGAACUUGCUCAGAGUGCAUUCUCCAAGAUUGGCAUGAUACAGUGCUUCUUGCCGUGGAUGGAGGUCCAAGAUCUCCACUAGC